rnacentral:rRNA from 1 species
AACGAACGCUGGCGGCGUGGAUAAGACAUGCAAGUCGAACGGGACUACUUUUGGUAGCAAUACUAAGAGUAGUUUAGUGGCGAACGGGUGCGUAACACGUGGGCAAUCUGCCGAGAAGUGGGGGAUAGCUCGCCGAAAGGCGAAUUAAUACCGCAUAUGAUCAGCUAGGACAUCUUAGCGAAAUCAAAGGUGGCGCAAGCUACCGCUUUUUGAGGAGCCCGCGGCCUANCAGCUAGUUGGUGAGGUAACGGCUCACCAAGGCUUUGACGGGUAGCUGGUCUGAGAGGACGACCAGUCACACUGGAACUGAGACACGGUCCAGACACCUACGGGUGGCAGCAGUCGAGAAUUUUUCUCAAUGGGGCAACCCUGAAGGAGCGACGCCGCGUGGAGGAUGAAGGCUUUGGGUUGUAACUACCUGUCAUUUGAGAACAAGUGUAGACCAAGUAACUACUGGCUACUUGAUAGUAUCAGAAGAGGAAGAGACGGCUAAC